rnacentral:rRNA from 1 species
UUCAAGAGUACGUGAAACCGUCCAGGGGUAAACCUGCGAAACUCGAAUGAACGAACGGAGAGAUUCAUCGUCAUUCCACGGCGCACUUGCGUUGGUGCGAUGUCUUCGGCCUCGGUCGUCGGCACGCGUCGCGUUCGUCGCGUCCGCGGACGGCGUGCACUUCUCUCUUAGUAAUACAUCGCGACCCGUUCGAUCUCGGUCUAAGUGCCCCACGGGAGUCUUCGCACCUCACGGUGUGGAGACCGUGUUUUUAAGGUGCCACCGACCGGGUGUCGGACGGUAGAUCUGACGAAACGCUCACGCGCUCUUGCGCGCGUCCGGCCCGACGCAAGGCAACGCCGUAUCCCACGUUCUGCCCGAGUGCGGACGAGGGUGCUGCGCGCCUGUUGUCGCAGCCGUGCUGUCUCGGACCGUGUGCGUAUCUGUCUGCGAUGAUUCAGUUUCGGGCACUCGCAGGACCCGUCU